rnacentral:tRNA from 1 species
UUAAAGGAGACCUACCCACUCAGAUAUCGAAAACUUUCUUGUAAUUAGAUAUUGAGUUGGUCAUCCUUCAGGUCGGUCGCGACAAUUGUAAUGUAUCUAUCUUUCAAACUAUAUUUUGGUUCAAAUUGGGCUAUUAGCUCAGGUGGUUAGAGCGCACCCCUGAUAAGGGUGAGGUCCCUGGUUCGAGUCCAGGAUGGCCCACCUGAAAAAGUAAAAAGAGCAAAGUCAAAAGUAAAAAAACUUUUAACUUUUAAUUUUUCACUUGACUCUGGGGGUUUAGCUCAGUUGGUAGAGCGCCUGCUUUGCAAGCAGGAUGUCAGCGGUUCGAGUCCGCUAACCUCCACCAGUAGUAAAUGAAGGAAAAUUCAGCAACUGAGCAUUUUGUUGCCAGACUGCUGGAUAAAUUUCCAGCCAUAGAACCUUGAAAACUGCAUAGUGAAGCGAAUAAAACAGCAGAGACACACAGACAUAGUGGUGUUUGCUUAGAGAAUGACCAAUUGUUUUUU